GAUCAUGGCUCAGGAUGAACGCUAGCUACAGGCUUAACACAUGCAAGUCGAGGGGCAGCAUGGGGUAGCAAUACUCAGAUGGCGACCGGCGCACGGGUGAGUAACACGUAUCCAACCUGCCGCUUACUCGGGGAUAGCCUUUCGAAAGAAAGAUUAAUACCCGAUGGUAUAAAGAGUUCGCAUGUUCUCUUUAUUAAAGAAUUUCGGUAAGCGAUGGGGAUGCGUUCCAUUAGAUAGUUGGCGGGGUAACGGCCCACCAAGUCUACGAUGGAUAGGGGUUCUGAGAGGAAGGUCCCCCACAUUGGAACUGAGACACGGUCCAAACUCCUACGGGAGGCAGCAGUGAGGAAUAUUGGUCAAUGGACGAGAGUCUGAACCAGCCUAAAAGUAGCGUGAAGGAUGACUGCCCUAUGGGUUGUAAACUUCUUUUAUAAGGGAAUAAAGUGAGGGACGUGUCCCUUUUUGUAUGUACCUUAUGAAUAAGGAUCGGCUAACUCCGUGCCAGCCGCGGC
rnacentral:rRNA from 1 species